AUUUUAUGAUUAUUGAUAAACAAAACACAGGAGAAGCAGGGGAAGAGUGAAAAAAAAGGAGUUGCUUUACUUUGAUUUCCUUCUUGUUUAGCUUGAAUUUGUUGAGUUUCUUUUAUUAUGUUAUUGCUUCAGCUUCAACCCUUCAAUGGAGUAUCUCAUCUCACUGUGGGGACUCCAUUCCCACUGAAGAAAUGCAGCAGGAGAACCCUCCUUUUGAGACCACAAGCUGUUCCCUCAAGAACCCAGAGGAUAAUGGAGAGUGUUUCAGUGAGUGGAGAAGUUGGUGGUGCUGGUGGAGCAUACUCAUAUGAAGCUUUGAAAAGAUUGGACCAGUUAUGGUCAAGCUUGUGCUCAGCUCAAGAAGUUGUGCAAGAACCUCAGCAAGUUGUCUCUUCCAUACCAAGCUUGUUUCGCUCAUCCGAUCUUGCUAACAAAGUAGAAGGCUCAUAUGAUGUGUUAGUGUGUGGCGGCACUCUGGGAAUCUUCAUUGCCACAGCAUUGUGUGCCAGAGGUCUCAGAGUUGCCAUAGUGGAAAGGAAUGUAUUAAAAGGGAGAGAGCAAGAUUGGAAUAUAUCAAGAAAGGAGCUUUUGGAACUUGUAGAAGUUGGAGUCCUGGAAGAAGAUGACAUUGAAAGAGCCACAUCAAUAAAUUUCAAUCCUAAUAGAUGUGGAUUCGAAAGCAAAGGGGAUAUCUGGGUCAACAAUAUUCUUCAUCUUGGUGUUUCACCUGUAAAGAUCAUAGAGAUUGUAAAGGAACGAUUUAUUUCUCUUGGCGGAGUCAUUUUUGAGGGUUGCAGCGUCUCGUGCAUUAAUAUAUAUGAGGAUGCUGCUGUUCUGAAACUUUCUGGCGACAAAAUCUUGUCGUCUCGUCUUAUAAUUGAUGCAAUGGGGAACUUCUCCCCUAUUGUAAAACAGAUAAGGCGUGGGAGGAAGCCUGAUGGUGUUUGCCUUGUUGUUGGAACCUGUGCACGUGGUUUUGAAAGUAAUUCCACUAGUGAUGUCAUAUUCAGCAGCUCAUCAGUAAAGAAAGUCGGAGAUUCACAGGCUCAAUAUUUUUGGGAGGCAUUUCCAGCAGCCUCGGGUCCCUUGGAUCGUACUACUUAUAUGUUCACUUAUGUAGAAGCUCAGCCAGGAUCCCCAAAGUUGGAAGAAUUAUUGGAGGCAUACUGGGAUCUAAUGCCAGAAUAUCAGGGUGUUUCUCUUGACAAUUUAGAGAUACUGAGAGUUAUCUAUGGCAUCUUUCCGACAUAUCGUGAGAGCCCUCUGCCAGCUGCUUUUAGUAGAGUUUUACAGUUUGGUGAUGCUAGUGGCAUACAAUCACCUGUUUCAUUUGGUGGUUUUGGGAGUUUGACCAGACAUCUUGGGAGAAUAUCAGCUGGCAUAUAUGAAGCAAUCAAUGGUGAUUAUCUUGACUCAUACAACUUGUCUCUGCUGAACCCAUACAUGCCCAACCUGAGUGCUUCAUGGUUGUUCCAAAGAGCAAUGUCUGCAAAGAAACAGUCCAAUGUUCCUCCAGAUUUCAUCAAUGAGCUUCUUUUUGCCAAUUUUAGCUGUAUGCAGAGGCUAGGGGAUCCAGUGCUUAGACCAUUUCUACAGGAUGUUGUACAAUUUGGGCCACUUUCCAAGACAUUAGGCUUGGUUAUGUUAACAAAGCCUCAAAUACUCCCAUCCAUAUUCAAACAGGUUGGUGUUCCUGUACUUCUUGACUGGUCCAGACAUUUUCUGAUGCUUGGUUACUAUACCUUUCUUUCCACCUUUGCUGAUCCAAUUGCGAGGCCAUUUUUAAAUACACUGCCAUCCAAGACUAGUUUCCAGUGGAAGCGGCAUCUUGAGGCUUGGAAAUAUGGAGCUGGUCUUGAUUACAAGCUAUAGUAUAAAUGACUACUUUUACAUAUGAUUCAGACCAACCUGAUACAGGAUGUUUCUCUUCAAAUUUACCACUUUCACAUCAAGUGAGGUUUGUAAUUAUAACAUGCAUGUCUUCCACAACAAGUUGAGAUUCUUCUCUUUAGGGUAUGUUUGGAUUGAUGGAACAUAAUGGAACGGAGCGGAAUGGAACACGAAGGAACGGAAUGGAGUGGAAUGGAACGGAGUUGGUGUUCCUGUACUUCUUGACUGGUCCAGACAUUUUCUGAUGCUUGGUUACUAUACCUUUCUUUCCACCUUUGCUGAUCCAAUUGCGAGGCCAUUUUUGAAUACACUGCCAUCCAAGACUAGUUUCCAGUGGAAGCGGCAUCUUGAGGCUUGGAAAUAUGGUGCUGGUCUUGAUUACAAGCUAUAGUAUAAGUGGCUACUUUUACAUAUGAUUCAGACCAACCUGAUACAGGAUGUAUCUCUUCAAAUUUACCACUUUCACAUCAAGUGAGGUGACAUAAAAUGAAAAUCAUGGAAAUUAGACAUGCUUAUAGAUCUCAGCGAAGUUUGUUACUUGGCCCUCAAUUUGUCUAGGGAUGCUUAUGUUCCAUUUCAAUUUUCAUCUAAUUGUAAUACUAACCAAUAUAAGGAUUUACAGGUUUGUAAUUAUAACAUGCAUGUCUUCCACAACAAGUUGAGAUUCUUCUCUUUAGUGAGUCAGC